AAACGUGUGCCCACCUCAUGAAUUCCAGACACAGAAGAGAGAAUGCUGCAUUGGGGAGAAAGAACUGGAAGCAAAAGGCCACUAAUGAAUGAAGAAUCCCCUGCUGCCAGCUAUCAUAAUGGUCAUGCUUCUAAGUUCAAGAAAGGCUGUUGCUCCAGCCAAGCAUAAAUUGCUUCACCUGCUGAAGUGCUACACGCAAGCGUCAUGAGGACAUAGACUCUCUUGUUCACUGCCAUAUCAUAAGGCAUGUUGUUGUGCUGAUUCCUGGAUUAAUAUUUUGUGACCUCAGAUUCCUCUGCCAACAACAGUCUCACAAAGAUUUGCUGUUUGCCAUAGUGGGGCUCAAGAGAGGGCAUGUGGGUCAUUUUUGGAACCACUCAGGAAAACAAAUUUCUCAGAUGAAGAUCCAGAUGAUAUUCUCUUCACAAAGACAUUGAAAAAUAUUUGGUGGAAGGAGCAAGAACAUCUUUGGGAAGAAAUGUAGUGACUAUUCUCUGUGCUAAGAGAUGAUAGUAAGAGAUGAUGAAAUUGGAAUAGACUCCUGGGUUUCUACUGUGAUUAUAAAAAUAAUCUCACCAUAGGGAUCUUUGGCCAUGGCAAAUUGUUAUGAGGUCUCUUAGAUUGAAAUACCUGGACAGACCAU
rnacentral:lncRNA from 1 species